AUUGAACGCUGGCGGCAGGCCUAACACAUGCAAGUCGAACGAGUGGCGGACGGGUGAGUAAUGUCUGGUAAACUGCCUGAUGGAGGGGGAUAACUACUGGACACGGUAUCUAAUACCACAUACCAUCAGAUGUGCCCAGAUGGGAGUAGCUAGUAGGUGGGGUAAAGUCUCACCUAGGCGACGAUCCCUAGCUGGUCUGAGAGGAUGACCAGACACACUGUAACUGAGACAUGGUCCAGACUCCUACGGGAGGCAUCAGGGGGGAAUAUUGCACAAUGGGAGCAAGCCUGAUGCAGCCAUGCCGCGUGUAUGAAGAAGGCCGUCGGGUUGUAAAGUACUGUCAGCGGGGAGGCGUUACCCGCAGAAGAAGCCCCGGCUAACUCCGUGCCAGCCGCCGCGGUAAUUC
rnacentral:rRNA from 1 species